AAGUUCCCUUAUUUAACAGGAGCUAGGUGGAACAGUAAAAAGGUUCCCAGCACCAGGCAGACAAAAGUGCUUUGUUGUAAAACUCCUUGGUGGAGCCCUUGUGAACAGGUUCCAAGAAGAACAGACCAGAGGAGGAUGGUGCAUGAGGAAAGGUCUGACUGGUAUGAAAUAAAGAUCUGUGAAGCUAUCUUCUGGGAGCUUAAAGUUCUUUGUGUCCUGGUAGUCGCUGGUACAGGUGUUACUGUAGGACCUAGAAAUCUUCAUGAUGUCUUCCCUGGGCUGGAUGCUGUUAAUACAAACCAAACAGCACAGGAAAUGGGAUCUGUUCCUCACCAGCCACAAGAGCAUUUCUCUGUAUUUGAUGUCCUGAAGAAGCAAGUGAACACAGGUGAGGUUAUGGGCUUGAGGCAUUUGGAAAGCCAUCUCAGUACCUACCUCAUGCCUUGUAGGAUUUCAACUUAGAAGGGACCCACUCCUACUCCAGUCACUUACUGGCUCAGGAGUAAAGGGCAUGAAGACCCUGAGAGAGUGCUUGGUGUAGCCCAAAUGGCAUUCUUUGACCACAAAAGGCUUCAGAUUAAGUCCAUCAAGAAAUUUGUGACUCUCAUCCACUGAUGGCAUCUGAAGGGAAGCAGAUUGCCACUUCAAAGGACUCUAGUCGUGGGCAAAUUGGUCUCUGCAAAGUAGGGGCCAGCACAUGGCCUUUUGCCAGUCUGUGUAUUGCUGUAAAACAUGACCUAGGAAAUAUUUUUGGCCUGAUUUUCUGAAACCUGUGUUCAUCCUGUGCCUGAGAAUUGGGAUUUGUACUUGGGGAACUACCUGGUUUUUGCAUGGAAGAUGGAUAUGCUAAGGAAACUCUCUGAACACAGUUAAAG